rnacentral:pre_miRNA from 1 species
ACUAAGAUCGCAACUACCCAACAUUUAACCGUCCAUCUUAUUUAAAAACAAUAAUUAGUAGUUUUAUUGUUAUAUAAGAUGAUAAAACGUAAAUAGUACUUUAUGUGUGACUAAUUUAUUUUAAAUUUUUUUCAUAAAAUUUUUAAUAAGAUAAGUGAUUAAAUGUUGGGCAGGAAAACCCACCACCAUACUUAAA